GAUGGGAGAGAAGCAGUAUCAGUGCACAUAACAUGUGCUGAUACCACUUCUCUCCCAUAUCGAUGCUUUUCACAUCUGCCCUAGACUCCUUAAUACUUACUGGUACACCAGAGGAUCAAAGGUCUGAGAAGAAGCCGCUGCAGCCGUCAGGAGCAAAGGGGAUGCAGUCACAAUCCCGACUUUCAGAAUAGAGACAGCGGAAUCCCGAUGGUCGGAAUCCCGCAAGAAUAUAAUGACGAUGCUGAUGCUUAGAAACUAACUGGAACCCAUCAUGCAGCUGUUGUUAUGGGCGUAGAAGCAGAGAAAGGCACCCAUGCCAGGUACAGCAAACCUUGGAGCCAUUUUUAUUCCUGGAUGCCA